rnacentral:rRNA from 1 species
CCACGCAACACCAGCGAGCCAUUUAGUAUUGGUAUAUACAUACGCACACUGGAGAUGGACAUUGGCGAGCGAAGGAAGAGUCGUCGCUCAUUGUGCUGUGCCUACCACCGCUACUGACGCUCGUGACGACCGCUACCGACGCAGCAAAGAUGCCGGCCGAGGAGCUGCGCCACGGCCCCGUCGGCGCCGUCUCCUGGCUCGGCAUCGCCUUCCUCACCGUCAACUCGGCCAUGGCGAUCCACAGGUCCAAGGGCGACCCGGCCGCGGUCGGCUUCGUCGCCUUCUCCUACCUCGACCUCGUACUGCUCUUCUACUGCCACAGGAGGUUCGAGAGCGCCGCGCCCGGCUCGCCGGCGAGACGCAGGCUCAAGGUGGCCGUCUGGGUCCUCACCACCAUGCUCACGGCCGUUCUGAGCUAUAAAGUCGCGGCUAUCAUGCCGCUGCCCGUGCAGAUCCUCGUUUGGGCCAUGGCCGCCGCCGCCGUCGGAGGAGGAUUCUACGCCUUCUUCCUGUUCCGGGAAGGCAAGGAUGGUUAAGGAAGCAUGGCAGAUAUUUUCUGGGAAAGCCCUUAUUUUGGAUCCUACAUGCUCUAAACGUAGCUGGAAAAAGAAAUCAAAGGUACAUAUGUUCUUUCAGGAAAAAUGGGACGUUAUGGACAAGGUUUGGCACACUCUCACUUCCAGGUCAUUAGCUGCCGCCCCAACUAUUGCCGCUGAGCACGCAAAUGUUCGAGUUUUGUCCUUCUAGGACCAUGGGCACUGAACUCAGGAGGGCGUUCUCUCCGUCAAAUUCUUGUCACGCUACAUGAAACCUUACAUCUAAGCUGCUAAAGUGAAUGAUGGGUAUUAUGUGCAUUGUGUAUUGUGUAUUAUGUAUUAUGUAUGGUGUAGGUAGCAAGCAGCUUCCUUUUGUCCCAGGUCAUGUAAUAUCAUCAGCAAAAAUAGAACUUAAGACAACAAGGUCUUACAUUUUUCUUGUUAAAGAAGAAGGUGGUGUAGCAAGACUGAUGAUAGUGUUGCUCUCUCGGUGUGGUAACUCAUACUGUGGCAGUGUAGUUUGGUCAUGCCAUGACGAGUGGCAUGAUCAAAACAAGGAUCAGUUCAACUUUUUGAUAAUAACAGAGAAAAAAGAAAGCAAGGACAAAGGGGGCGGACUGGGAAGAGUCUGGCUAUUAUCACAAAUCGUAAUCGGCAAAAUUCUAAUAGUAUACGACGAAUCCAGUUGA